UAGGGAAUCUUCCACAAUGGACGCAAGUCUGAUGGAGCAACGCCGCGUGAGUGAAGAAGGUUUUCGGACCGUAAAGCUCUGUUGUUGGUGAAGAAGGAUAGAGGUAGUAACUGGCCUUUAUUUGACGGUAAUCAACCAGAAAGUCACGGCUAACUACGUGCCAGCAGCCGCGGUAAUACGUAGGUGGCAAGCGUUGUCCGGAUUUAUUGGGCGUAAAGCGAGCGCAGGCGGAAGAAUAAGUCUGAUGUGAAAGCCCUCGGCUUAACCGAGGAAUUGCAUCGGAAACUGUUUUCUUGAGUGCAGAAGAGGAGAGUAGAACUCCAUGUGUAGCGGUGGAAUGCGUAGAUAUAUGGAAGAAUACCAGUGGCGAAGGCGGCCCCUCUG
rnacentral:rRNA from 1 species